rnacentral:misc_RNA from 1 species
AGCUCAAUUGAUCAGUAUCCUUCAAUUUCCAUCCUUCUGUUUAUCAGCAAGCAGCUUUCUAGUAUUGAUUCUGCACGUAGGUAAAUUGAUCCUUAACUUCUUUCAAUUUCAUCUUCUCUCAGAUGUGUUGAAUUACCCACAUCAGCUGCCUUAUGUGCCAUUUCCUAAUUAAUUAACAUCAAAUCAACAUGAACAUAUUACGUACAUA